AUUGAACGCUGGCGGCAGGCCUAACACAUGCAAGUCGAGCGGAUGAAGGGAGCUUGCUCCUGGAUUCAGCGGCGGACGGGUGAGUAAUGCCUAGGAAUCUGCCUGGUAGUGGGGGAUAACGUCCGGAAACGGGCGCUAAUACCGCAUACGUCCUGAGGGAGAAAGUGGGGGAUCUUCGGACCUCACGCUAUCAGAUGAGCCUAGGUCGGAUUAGCUAGUUGGUGGGGUAAAGGCCUACCAAGGCGACGAUCCGUAACUUGUCUGAGAGGAUGAUCAGUCACACUGGAACUGAGACACGGUCCAGACUCCUACGGGAGGCAGCAGUGGGGAAUAUUGGACAAUGGGCGAAAGCCUGAUCCAGCCAUGCCGCGUGUGUGAAGAAGGUCUUCGGAUUGUAAAGCACUUUAAGUUGGGAGGAAGGGCAGUAAGUUAAUACCUUGCUGUUUUGACGUUACCAACAGAAUAAGCACCGGCUAACUUCGUG
rnacentral:rRNA from 1 species